UUCAUGGUGGUGCAGUUGGUAGCACUGUUGCCUUGCAGCAACAAAGUCCUGGGUUCAAUUCCUGUCUUUCUGCAUGGAAA